GACGAACGCUGGCGGCAUGCUUAACACAUGCAAGUCGAACGGAAAGGCCCGGCUUUUGGGCGCUGCUCGAGUGGCGAACGGGUGAGUAACACGUGAGUAACCUACCCCUGACUGCGGGAGAACUUCAGGAAACUGGGGCUCAUACCGCCUAAGAGCUCCUGCUGCAUGGUGGGGGUGGGAAAGUUUCGGCGGUUGGGGAUGGACUCGCGGCUUAUCAGCUUGAUGGAGGGGUGGUGGCAUACCAAGGCUUUGACGGGUAGCCGGCCUGGGAGGGUCACCGGCCACAUUGGGACUGAGAUACGGCCCAGACUACUACGGGAGGCAGUGGUGGGGAGUAUUGCACAGUGGGCGGGAGCCUGAUGCAGCAACGCCGCGUGCGGGAUGACGGCCUUGCGGUUGGAAACCGAUUUCGCCUGUGACGAAGCGUGAGUGACGGUACCGGGUGAAGAAGCACCGGCUAACUACGUG
rnacentral:rRNA from 1 species